rnacentral:rRNA from 1 species
AGUGAACGCUGGCGGUAGGCCUAACACAUGCAAGUCGAACGGCAGCACAGAGGAGCUUGCUCCUUGGGUGGCGAGUGGCGGACGGGUGAGGAAUACAUCGGAAUCUACUCUGUCGUGGGGGAUAACGUAGGGAAACUUACGCUAAUACCGCAUACGACCUACGGGUGAAAGCAGGGGACCUUCGGGCCUUGCGCGAUUGAAUGAGCCGAUGUCGGAUUAGCUAGUUGGCGGGGUAAAGGCCCACCAAGGCGACGAUCCGUAGCUGGUCUGAGAGGAUGAUCAGCCACACUGGAACGGGGACACCGUCCAGACUCCUACGGGAGGCAGCAGUGGGGCAUAUUGGACAAUGGGCGCAAGCCUGAUCCAGCCAUACCGCGUGGGUGAAGAAGGCCUUCGGGUUGUAAAGCCCUUUUGUUGGGAAAGAAAUCCAGCUGGCUAAUACCCGGUUGGGAUGACGGUACCCAAAGAAUAAGCACCGGCUAACUUCGUGCCAGCCGCCGCUGUAA